rnacentral:tRNA from 1 species
GACAGCUUGGCCGAGUGGUUAAGGCGAUAGACUAGAAAUCUAUUGGGUUCACCCGCGUGAGUUCAAAUCUCACAGCUGUCG